rnacentral:rRNA from 1 species
ACAAUGAAGAGUUUGAUCCUGGCUCAGGAUGAACGCUAGCGGCAGGCUUAACACAUGCAAGUCGAGGGGC